GACAGAGGUGCCAAGCGUUAGGCGGAAUCACUGGGCUUAAAGCGCGUGUAGGUGGACGGGUAAGUAUCUUGUGAAAUCCCACGGCUCAACCGUGGAACUGCUGGAUAUACUGCUUGUCUUGAGGCACUUAGGGGCAGCUGGAACAAAUGGUGGAGCGGUGAAAUGCGUAGAUAUCAUUUGGAACGCCAAAGGCGAAAGCAGGCUGCUGGGAGUGAUCUGACACUGAGACGCGAAAGCCAGGGGAGCAAACGGG
rnacentral:rRNA from 1 species